CACUCUAGCGAGACUGCCGGUAAUAAACCGGAGGAAGUGGGGAUGACGUCAAAUCAUCAUGCCCCUUAUGACCUGGGCUACACACGUGCUACAAUGGUUGGUACAACGAGUUGCGAGUCGGUGACGGCGAGCUAAUCUCUUAAAGCCAAUCUCAGUUCGGAUUGUAGGCUGCAACUCGCCUACAUGAAGUCGGAAUCGCUAGUAAUCGCGGAUCAGCACGCCGCGGUGAAUACGUUCCCGGGCCUU
rnacentral:rRNA from 1 species